AAAAGACCCUAAGAUUGUCACUGAUUAUCAGAAUGUAGCUAUUAAAAGAAAAUUUGAUGAAGUAAAAACGUGUUUCAUUUUAAUUACUUCUGUUUUCCUUUUUGUUUCCUUUACCAGUUUAUAUGAAGAACAGGUUAGGAAGUGGCAUAGCUAAGGCAGUGCUAAUAAAAUGGUGGGACAUCCUUGCAUCGGAGGGGUGGAAUGUCAGGAGGGAAUUGGAUGCGAGGUACUCUCCUUCAGGAGGCCAGACCAGAGAGUGGCAGUGUGAUGUUCCGUAUUACUGCCGUCUACCUCAACGAUGGACCCGAUGCUGAGAUCGUGCGUGGCUGGUAUCCUGGGACGUUCAUGAUGUGGUGGCCCAGUUCUCGAUAACCACAUCAGGAUAUAUGACCUGGUACAUGGUCAGUCCUGGUUUUAACACCUUCCAUCUUGACAGCAGAUGUUACUGGAAUGGGGACACGACUGCUACCAUGGCAAACCUGAUAAUCCUAUACAAGAGGCUGAAUGGGCAGAGGCCAGAAAACAUGCAUGUCAUUCAUACUGAGCCAGAAAGCUGUUGAUGUUGACUUCCAAGGACGCUGGCGGUGAGAGAGGAUCUGUGAUGAGUGAACACACUAGGUGAUGAGCAGGCUGAUGCAAUGUUACCACUUUUACAGCCUCAAAACAGUAUCCCAGCCACUAUUGGGCUAGAACUUUGCAGUUUGGCAUGUCGAUGUAUAUUGUCAGUGUAAAGUUUAACAAGAAGUUGUUUGAAAGUGUUCUGGAGUGACUGUCCUGUCCAUGCAGGAAACGUGGGCAACUGUGCUACAGUUUACUUUGUUCUAUUUGAUUUAUGAAAUAACAUUUUAAUUUUGUGUGGUCACUGAUAUUUUUUUUUGCACUCUUUAAAACAUUAAAAGCGAAUGAACUGUUUGUGUUAUUUUACUGGUCUUUCUGUAGAUGAAAUGUUCUUGUUAUUCUGUAUUUCUCUGAAUCCAUGAGGAGGCUGAGUGUUCUUUGGCUCAAAUUCCAAACUGUUGUACAACAUGGAUGUUAGAAGAAAGUGAAUUUUGCAAAAGAUGAAUAGCUAUUCUUCACGUGCCAGUGCUUAAUUUUGGUUAAAAUAAAUGAUUUAUUAGGAAAAAAUUGCAUUUACAGGAACCAAAUUAUAUCGACUGUAUUUGAUGGAAACAAUUUUAGACAAAUAUUGACUGUUUCACAUGGAGUUGAAGAGACGUAUAUCAGUAUUCUGAAUUGCUGUGUUUUGCACUCACAGGAUUCAACUCGAAAUAAAUAUAUUCGAAAUGACCAGAGAAUUUACGUUGUUCUUAAAGUGGAAAUAAAAAACCACACAAAUUCAAGAAAAUGAGAUUCUUCAAACUCUGCUCAUAAAAGAUUUUUUGUAACAGUGUUCAGAGUCAACUGUAAUUUGGAAUUCAGUGUCAAUUGAAAAUAAACCAUUAGAAACUAAA